AUUGAACGCUGGCGGCAUGCUUUACACAUGCAAGUCGAACGGCAGCACGGGGGCAACCCUGGUGGCGAGUGGCGAACGGGUGAGUAACACAUCGGAACGCGUCCAGUUGUGGGGGAUAACCCAUCGAAAGGUGGGCUAAUACCGCAUGAGCUGGCAACAGGAAAGCGGGGGACCCGCAAGGGCCUUGUGCGAUUGGAGCGGCCGAUGUCCGAUUAGCUAGUUGGUGGGGUAAAGGCCUACCAAGGCUUCGAUCGGUAGCUGGUCUGAGAGGAUGAUCAGCCACACUGGGACUGAGACACGGCCCAGACUCCUACGGGAGGCAGCAGUGGGGAAUCUUGCGCAAUGGGCGAAAGCCUGACGCAGCGACGCCGCGUGAGGGAUGACGGCCUGG
rnacentral:rRNA from 1 species